UACGUAGGGUGCGAGCGUUGUCCGGAAUUAUUGGGCGUAAAGAGCUCGUAGGCGGUGUGUCACGUCGGCCGUGAAAACCUGCAGCUUAACUGUGGGCGUGCGGUCGAUACGGGCAUCACUGGAGUUCGGCAGGGGAGACUGGAAUUCCUGGUGUAGCGGUGAAAUGCGCAGAUAUCUGGAGGAACACCUGCGGCGAAGGCGGGUUGCUGGGCCGACACUGACGCUGAUGCGCGAAAGCCAGGGGAGCGAACGGG
rnacentral:rRNA from 1 species